rnacentral:lncRNA from 1 species
UUUUGACCACCCCAACGCUAAAACCCUAGCUCCUGCAAAUUAUUCUCUCUGCUUUCUCUCUCUCUGACAAGGCCAUGUACCACGUGGAAGAGGGGCAGAAUCAGGCCGAACCGGCGAAGGAAGUGCUUGAUGAGGAGAAUAAUCGUAAAAAUGGUAUGCUCUUGAUUUUCUGGUUUAGGGUAAAUUCAUGACAUGGAAGAAGAUUAUCUGGUUUGUCUAAUUGAGUACUAUAUUAUCCGGAAUUCAAUUGCCACUGAAUAAUUUUUAUUUCCUCGAUCUAGCGUAGUAUUUCAAGCAAAUUAAGCAGUUGGUAUGGAUGAGUUAAUUGGUUAUCGUAACAACUAACAAGUUAAGCUAUAAUUGUCUUGAAUGGAAUGGAAUGGAAUUGAAUUUUGUUGUUUGUAUUUAACUCGUUAAUAUGCCUUGGUGCUGUUUUCGUCCACGAUGCCCUCCUUACCCCAGGCUGUGAUGUUUGGAUGAGGGUUUUUCAAGUUUUUAAGGAAUAGAUGUAAGUUAGAAAGGAAUUGGCCACAAAUUAACAUAGAAGGGAUUAGAAAACCGUCCAUGAACAUUACAUAGGCCGAUAGGCGUUUGAGAAGGAUUCGCUAAUGCCUAUUUUGGAGAUGUCAUCUGCAUAUCUCUCAUGUAUUUGUAUUACCCAUGUUGGAAUUUUCUUUUGCUUCUUAAUUUGUGCGAUUUGAGGAUUUAGUUUAGUUUUAGUUUUGUAUUUAACUAUGGAACUGCAAACAAACAGAAAAACAGAACUUUGUACCAAAGGAUGUUGGAGACUAUUGGAUGCAAGCAACUUUGUGUCAAUCUCCUUUAUCUUUGUGCUGUCAACUUUGUGUCAACUUCUUAAUUCAAGGAGCUUGUCUUUUCUAAACCAUUUUGUCAGUUGUCUUCCCUAAACCACCUUUGUGGCGUAUAUCAAGGAGUCAAUCUCCUUAUAUAUUGUUGUACAAUUAUAAUGAUAUCAUGAAGAAAAUACAAAACAUACUUUGAAAAUCAGCAGAGACUCAAUGACUAAACUCCUUGGACGACAAAGAAGAAGAUGACGACGAUGAUGGUGCGCACUUCUAGGCUCUGCAUAGUUUGCUGUAAGAAGAAGAAGCACUUCAGUCACAAUUGCCCCAUACCUGAAGCAUGUCCCACGUGGUGCUACUGUUGGCCCUGGCUUUCUGACAUAUUUUGCAAGUGUCGUAAUCAGCUUGGUGGCCACACUGGGCAAAACUUUGUCACGUUUUGUGCUUGUUGUAUGACUCUGGGUCAACACCCGUAUGUGAAGUGCCCGUAUCGUCCCAAGGACAGACUACCAUUAUUUGUGCCUCGCACGGUGGUUGUGCGGUCGGCCAUGGACAGACCACCAUAUGAGUAUCCUGUACCUGACGUUUACUAGGAUUAAGAUCUCAAUUUUGCCGUUGUUUUUCUUGCUUAUUUUUAGCUAGUAUUAUAAUGAGAUAAGUAAGAGCUUGAGAAUACUCUAAUUGAAAGUUGAACUUUGAAUAAGAAUAAAACACAUACAUUGGCUUAUUUCAUGUCAAAUUAAUACGAUCAAGAUUCAAGUGCAAUCCUUUGCCACUAAUUGCCAAUCGUGACGAGUUUUCUUUGCCACAGCUCUUCACCAUCAAAUGCUUGCGACUCCUAAUUAACCUACCCAUCUCGGUAAUGCAUUCUUAAUCUUAAUACUCAAGGUUCAGAUCACCCAUUUUGUUCUUCUACUCUCUCAUCAUCAACACCUCAAUUCUGCAAACCAAAACCCGGAAUUAGCAUGUGUAGUACGUUGAGAGCGAACAAGAACUCUUAGGUAAGGCUGCCUCGACAGAGACACCAGACCAGGGGAUGGAGGGGCCAGAAACUCUUACUGCUCGAUCUUAAUGAUGCCCUCGUUCAAGUCUCCGAGCCAAUUUAGCAUUGCAUUUUCUUUUUUGGAUCAAGUCAAGUGCAUGGAAACAUUCAUCAUAUGAUGCCAUUCCAGCUAACUUCAAACUCGUCAUGUUUUGUGCCUCUACAUCCAAUUCAAAUUUUCAAGGAUGUAGUGCGGUUAAACUUAGUCACUUAAAAUUAAAAAAUUUCACUACACCUGGCCUACAGUAAUCAAAUUAAUUACCCUCAUACUAACGCAAUGUCUUCUCUCACGUUCCAUUCUUGCUAAAACCCUCGCCGCUCUUCCUUCUAUUAAAAUAACGUAACCAAACACACAUAUUUUGUUCCAUGCAUGGUGUGGCCAGGCCACCCAAAUAUUUGAUCAACCAUUACAAUACUGCAGGGUAGAAAAUAUGUGGUCAACCAGUACAAUACAAUUAGAUAUGUCUGUCUAACGUUAAAUUGUACAGCAUAUCCAGAAUGUUCCCCAAAGUAGCAGCAGGGCUCAAGGCUGUUAUCAAUACUACGAUGACAGUAGCUACAAAGUAUUCCUUAGCCAGGGCCAACAAUAGUGCCCCGCGAGACAUUCUUCCAAUACGGGCAAUAUAUUGUCCUUAAGACGAAGGAAACAGCGCCCAAAAUCAGCUUCUCCGUCGUCUUCUUCUUCUUCUUCUUCUUCUUGUUUGUUUUUCAUCAUCUCUAAAACCUCCAAGGGGCACAAGAAGGAUUUGUUGAGCUCGUCAAAGGCUAAAAUUAAGUAGAUGUUAGAAAUGAAAAUAAAAUAAUAAAAUAAACUUUGCCUACAUGGUUUGUCUAUUCCAUUGAAGUGACACGCUUUUUUAAUAAGGUAAUUGAGUAGGCAACUUGCAAGUCUGGUGGUAUUCCUCUUCACUUGAAAGUGAGAGGUCUUAGGUUGGAAUCUCAUGGAUGACGAAUUCGAUACCAAAUUAGGUUGCCCAUU